AUGUCUAGUUCGAACUUGUUGUUCUGUUCGUGGAAUGUAAGAGGAUUAGGUGAUGAUGGAAAAUGUACUGAAGUAUUGGCUGAAUUACUGUCUCUCAAACCAAACCUUCUUCUCCUUCAAGAAACUAAAUUAGCAGCCCCCUCUCUGCAAAAAAUCAGAUCCUUUCUCCCCUCUUCCCUCGAUUUUGUUAGCUCCCUCCCAGCACGUGGUACUGCUGGGGGGUUGCUAACGGCUGUCUCCACCUCUUCCCUCUCGGUCAAAUCUUACAUCAAUCAUUCGUUAUGUACUUCCGUAACACUCCAAUCCCUCGCGUGCCCAACCCCCUUUGUAGUCACCAACGUUUACGCUCCCACUGCUUGAGCUUUUAAAAGUGACUUCCUUGACGAACUUAAAAGUAUUACCCCUGACAGCACCCCUUGGUUAGUCUUAGGCGAUUUCAGUCUCAUUCGCUUCCCUCAUGAAAAAAACAACUCUAAUUUUCAUCAUCUUGAGGCCAAUCUCUUCAACGAUACGUUAGAUCAACUUGUGUUACUAGAACUACCCCUCCUUGACAGGAAAUUCACUUGGUCAAAUAAUCAAGACUCGCCUGUUCUGGAACGCCUCGAUCGUGCUUUCUUCAACUUAGCAUGGAACAAAUCUUUCCCAAACUCCUUGCUCACCUCCUUUCCACGCUUCACUUCUGACCAUGUUCCACUAGUCGUCUCCAUCUCAACCUCCAUCCCCCGCUCCUGCCUUUUUCGGUUUGAAAGAUCUAGGGCCCUUCACCAGGCCUGUCGACGCAUAAUCGCUCAGGACGCAGCCCAUCACAGCCUCUCCAACCCAUCGGACUCCUCCAACCUGGCCCAAACGCUUCAAACCUGCCAUUCGUGCCUAAAGCAAUGGGCCAAAACCCUCAGACCACCUUCCAUCAGGGAGCAACGGUGCAAGACUGUGCUCAGACUCAUUGAUGCCAAGGAAGAAUCUCAUGCUCUCUCUGUUGCUGAGUCAUCCCUGCAAAUCGUUUUGAAGCGCUCCCUCCAUCGAGCCAUCCGGGAUCAUAUGAUAGCAAUCAGGCAGCGUGCAAAAGUCAAACGCGCCAUUUGGGGGGGGGGGUGA
rnacentral:rRNA from 1 species